GCUCCAGCAAGGAAGCAUAUCUAGGCCUAGUCAGUGGGAUGGGUGGCUGCACCCUCCCCUGCCUGCCCCAUCAGCUCCAGCAAGGACGGUGAGAUCUGGGAUGCUGCUCUGAGAUCCCUUCUCCCUGCGGCUUGCUGGGCAUAAGUCAUCAGGACCAGGAGGCCGUGCCCUCCCCAGCCUGCCUGGCCAUCAUUUCCAGCAAGGAAGCUUCAACAAGGAAGCUGCAGCAAGGAAGGUGAGAUCGAGGAUGCUGCUCAGAGAUCCCU
rnacentral:lncRNA from 1 species